UACGUAGGGGGCGAGCGUUGUCCGAAGUUACUGGGCGUAAAGCGCGCGUAGGCGGGUCGUUAAGUGGGGGGGGAAAGGUUCGGGCUCAACCCGGACACUGCCUUUCAUACUGGGGACCUUGAGUGCGGGAGGGGCGAGUGGAAUGGUCGGUGUAGCGGUGAAAUGCGUAGAUAUCAGGAGGAAUACCGAUGGCGAAGGCAGGUCUCUGGGCUGACACUGACGCUCAUGCACGAAAGCGUGGGGAGCAAACAGG
rnacentral:rRNA from 1 species